rnacentral:rRNA from 1 species
GACGAACGCUGGCGGCGUGCCUAACACAUGCAAGUCGAACGGAACUCGGGACUUCGGUUCUGAGUUUAGUGGCGAACGGGUGAGUAACGCGUGAGGAACCUGCCUUUCAGUGGGGGACAACAGUUGGAAACGACUGCUAAUACCGCAUAAUGUGUUUUUGGGGGCAUCCCCGAGACACCAAAGCUUUAUGUGCUGAAAGAUGGCCUCGCGUCUGAUUAGAUAGUUGGUGAGGUAACGGCUCACCAAGUCUGCGAUCAGUAGCCGGUCUGAGAGGAUGAACGGCCACAUUGGGACUGAGAUACGGCCCAGACUCCUACGGGAGGCAGCAGUGGGGAAUAUUGGGCAAUGGGGGAAACCCUGACCCAGCAACGCCGCGUGAAGGAAGAAGGCCUUC